UACGUAGGGUGCAAGCGUUAAUCGGAAUUACUGGGCGUAAAGCGUGCGCAGGCGGUUAUGUAAGACAGAUGUGAAAUGCCCGGGCUUAACCUGGGAACUGCAUUUGUGACUGCAUGGCUAGAGUUUGGCAGAGGGGGGUAGAAUUCCACGUGUAGCAGUGAAAUGCGUAGAUAUGUGGAGGGACACCGAUGGCGAAGGCAGCCCCCUGGGUCAAGACUGACGCUCAUGCACGAAAGCGUGGGGAGCGAACAGG
rnacentral:rRNA from 1 species